AUGCCUUGGAUUUUAAAUGGGGAUUUUAACUUGACUUGCUCGGAGUUGGAGCGUAGCUCUGGGAGAGGUAACAGGAGACUCAUGUCGAAAUUUCGACAUGCUAUUAAUAGGCUGGGAUUACAUGAUAUGCCAACAAUGGGAAGGAAGUAUACUUGGUGCAAUCAGCAAGAGCAAUCGGUGAUGGCUAGGUUGGACCGAGUGCUCUUCAACAAUGCCUGGGAGGAUAUAUACCCCAUCAGUGAUCUUCAUCCGCUCAGCUCUAAUAUUUCGGACCACUCUCCCCUGCUUCUCACUUGUUUGUCAGCUAGGCCGCGCUCUGGCCGUUUCCGGUUUGAGAAUUUCUGGUGCAAGCUUCCGGGGUUUCUGGAGGUAGUUAAGGAAGCAUGGGGACAAGAGGUCUCUAGCUGUGACCCAAUGAAGAUCUUGAGGACCAAACUUCAG
rnacentral:rRNA from 1 species